rnacentral:rRNA from 1 species
GGUGAGUAACACGUGAGUAAUCUGCCCUGCGCUCUGGGAUAGCCACCGGAAACGGUGAUUAAUACCGGAUAUGACAUGUAUGGGGGUGUGUGGAAAGUUUUUUCGGCGCAGGAUGUGCUCGCGGCCUAUCAGCUUGUUGGUGAGGUAAUGGCUCACCAAGGCAUCGACGGGUAGCUGGUCUGAGAGGAUGAUCAGCCACACUGGGACUGAGACACGGCCCAGACUCCUACGGGAGGCAGCAGUAAGGAAUCUUCCACAAUGGACGAAAGUCUGAUGGAGCAACGCCGCGUGCAGGAUGACGGCCUUCGGGUUGUAAACUGCUUUUAUAUGGGAAGAUUAUGACGGUACCAUAUGAAUAAGGACCGGCUAACUACGUGCCAGCAGCCGCGGUAAUACGUAGGGUCCAAGCGUUAUCCGGAAUCACUGGGCGUAAAGCGUGCGUAGGUGGCGCGUUAAGUGAGAUGUUAAAUCGUGUGGCUCAACCAUAUCGAUGCAUCUCAUACUGGCGUGCUAGAGGACAGCAGAGGCAAGUGGAAUUUGUAGUGUAGCAGUGAAAUGCGUAGAUAUUACAAGGAACACCAAUGGCGAAGGCAGCUUGCUGGGCUACUCCUGACACUGAGGUACGAAAGCGUGGGGAGCGAACAGGAUUAGAUACCCUGGUAGUCCACGCCGUAAACGAUGCAUACUAGACGUAUGGGGUAUCGACCCCCUGUGCGUCGAAGCUAACGCGAUAAGUAUGCCGCCUGGGAAGUACGGCCGCAAGGCUAAAACUCAAAGGAAUUGACGGGGACCCGCACAAGCAGAGGAGAUGUGGUUUAAUAUGACGCUACGCGUAGAACCUUACCGAGGCUUGACAUCUUAGAAUCCGCUGGAAACAGUGGAGUGCCUUUUGGAGCCUAAUGACAGGUGCUGCAUGGCCGUCGUCAGCUCGUGUCGUGAGAUGUUGGGUUAAGUCCCCAACAGCCAACCCUUAUCGUAGUUGUAUUUUUCAUGCAACUGCCCGGACGGGAGAGGGGGAUGAGUCGGUCGCAU